GCCCAAAAAGAAGUCGUUUUGUUUUUUGUAAUGGCACAAGGUCUUAAAGACAGAUUCGUCUUGGGGCA
rnacentral:tRNA from 1 species